CAGUUGGUAUAUCCGUGUGUUUGUGUACAAAAGCUGCUUAUUUUGUUCCCAAGUUUUUUGCUCAGUUAUUCUCCCAAAUUCCACUCUGAAGAAGCACUCCAGGGGAGAGAAAGAAAAAUACAGGGCUCAGGAGAGAAUGCCUCCCACUCCAUUAUGUGUAUGGAAAACUAUAUGAAGCCCCAUUAUCACUACAAAGAAUCACAGUAGGGAAGGGGAAGACUUGGAUUAAUUCAGCAGGCUUUGAAUCAAAACUUUUCAGUUCUGUGGGACUUGGAACACAAGCU